rnacentral:lncRNA from 1 species
GCCACUAAGAGUCAAAGAUCAAUUCAGACAGAAUCCCAACUAGGGAGUGGGGUAGGCAUCAGCAAAGACCCCACCCACCUCAGACAAGAUUUAAGAUGUGGUCCUAUAAACUAUGUAUCUGACACAUGCAUAUCCACAUCCACACAUAUGGAGGUUUAAGCUCACCACUAGCAGUUAACAGCUGUCCUAGUACCUUUGCUUGUGGAGACAGUUCGGAACGGGGACUUCCAUAUUGUGAAAGCAGCUCCACUUCCCCAAUAGGAUUUUUGAAGUUAACCGUAACUAAGCUUAUCUUCUCUAUUGUCCAGUUUUGAUACAUGCUACCAUAACAAGCACCAGAACAAGGCAAUUAGCCACUAGUAUUUGGCACUGCAGAGUGCAACCCAUAUUUCCUGGGUUACAAUAUAAGCACUGCCCAAAUGGACUUUACAGAAAAGCUGAAGGCCAAGACACUAAAGGCAACCACAAGUACAACCUCAAGAGUACCAGAAAGGUGACCCUGAACAGAAUCCAGAGUGAAGAACAUGGAACUGAACAGGUGGGUCAAGGGCCAGUAAGAUUUUGUUCCAAAGAUGAAGGCCAGCCAAUCACAUUUAAAAUGGGCUUUAAUGUGAUCCUUCAAAAAACCAUGCUGGACUCAGUUCCCAUUGUGAAAGGACUUUGGGGAAAGGACUAGGGCUUUCUUCACCUACCAGUGCCAACUGUCCAGGGUCAUACUUGAGCUGGACAAGCUCAAGUAUGCCAUAGCAACAUUUAUGGGGCAUUCCUCAAAACUUAUGGCUUAAGUUUUGUUUGCCUCCCCCCUUGUAGGAUACAGCUGCAAGACACCAUCUUCACUCAGGAACCACACCUGGCAUAAAAUCUGAUACCCCUCCCCCCAGGAUAGCAUCAAGCUAUGUGCCCCAGAGGGGGCCCGUAAGUGCAAGGAUUACAGUUCCACCACCAUGCCUGGCCACUCACUAGUUUUUUUCUGUCUUUCCGCUGGUGAUUUACUAUCUUGGUAUCUUUCUAAUCAUGAGUGUAUUUUCUACGAAGUUUUAUCAAUUGGCAGGAAACAUUUGGUAAAUUUUGAAUAAGAAAGACACAAUAAACUAGCACAAUUAAAAUCUGCUUCAAAGCCGGGCAGUGGUGGUGCACGCCUUAAUCCCAGCACUC